rnacentral:sRNA from 1 species
GGAUCAUUACACAAAUGAAAAUAUGAAGGCCCUUCAAACCGGCUGGAUUAUUUUUCUUCACCCUUGUCUUUUGCGCACUUGUUGUUUCCUGGGCGGGUUCGCUCGCCACCAGGACCACACCAUAAACCUUUUUGUUAAUGCAAUCAGCGUCAGUAAAAAGUAAUAAUUAUUUUACAACUUUCAACAACGGAUCUCUUGGUUCUGGCAUCGAUGAAGAACGCAGCGAAAUGCGAUACGUAGUGUGAAUUGCAGAAUUCAGUGAAUCAUCGAAUCUUUGAACGCACAUUGCGCCCUUUGGUAUUCCAAAGGGCAUGCCUGUUCGAGCGUCAUUUGUACCCUCAAGCUUUGCUUGGUGUUGGGCGUUGUUUGUCUUUGGCCUUGCCCAAAGACUCGCCUUAAAACAAUUGGCAGCCGGCCUACUGGUUUCGCAGCGCAGCACAUUUUUGCGCUUGCAAUCAGCAAAAGAGGUUGGCCAUCCAUCAAGACUACAUUUAUACGUUUGACCUCGGAUCAGGUAGGGAUACCCGCUGAACUUAAGCAUAUCAAUAAGCGGAGGAAAAGAAACCAACAGGGAUUGCCCUAGUAACGGCGAGUGAAGCGGCAACAGCUCAAAUUUGAAAUCUGGCUCUUUUAGAGUCCGAGUUGUAAUUUGCAGAGGGCGCUUUGGCUUUGGCAGCGGUCCAAGUUCCUUGGAACAGGACGUCACA